rnacentral:rRNA from 1 species
GACGAACGCUGGCGGCGUGCUUAACACAUGCAAGUCGAACGGUAAGGCUCCAGCUUGCUGGGGUACACGAGUGGCGAACGGGUGAGUAACACGUGGGUGACCUGCCCUGCACUUCGGGAUAAGCCUGGGAAACUGGGUCUAAUACCGGAUAGGACCGCACCGUGAGGGUGUGGUGGAAAGUUUUUUCGGUGUGGGAUGGGCCCGCGGCCUAUCAGCUUGUUGGUGGGGUAAUGGCCUACCAAGGCGGCGACGGGUAGCCGGCCUGAGAGGGUGGACGGCCACAUUGGGACUGAGACACGGCCCAGACUCCUACGGGAGGCAGCAGUGGGGAAUAUUGCACAAUGGGCGGAAGCCUGAUGCAUCGACGCCGCGUGGGGGAUGACGGCCUUCGGGUUGUAAACUCCUUUCACCAUCGACGAAGGGUUUCUGACGGUAGAUGGAGAAGAAGCACCGGCUAACUACGUG